UGAAAAAUUUUUUGUGCAUCAAUAUAGGAAAUCUGAUAUAGAAUAUACUAUCUUAUUUGAUCUAUAUAAUCAUCACUUUUUAAUAUAUAUUUAAUAUUUUUAUUUUAUUUUUUAAAAUUUUAAAUGAUAAAAAUAUCUCUUCUUUUUUUAAAAAAUUAUAACAUCUUAUGAUAUAUUAUGACAUCCUACAUCAAAUUAUGACUUCCUGC
rnacentral:lncRNA from 1 species